rnacentral:rRNA from 1 species
AGUGAACGCUGGCGGUAGGCCUAACACAUGCAAGUCGAACGGCAGCACAGUAAGAGCUUGCUCUUACGGGUGGCGAGUGGCGGACGGGUGAGGAAUACAUCGGAAUCUACUUUUUCGUGGGGGAUAACGUAGGGAAACUUACGCUAAUACCGCAUACGACCUACGGGUGAAAGCAGGGGAUCUUCGGACCUUGCGCGAUUGAAUGAGCCGAUGUCGGAUUAGCUAGUUGGCGGGGUAAAGGCCCACCAAGGCGACGAUCCGUAGCUGGUCUGAGAGGAUGAUCAGCCACACUGGAACUGAGACACGGUCCAGACUCCUACGGGAGGCAGCAGUGGGGAAUAUUGGACAAUGGGCGCAAGCCUGAUCCAGCUAUACCGCGUGGGUGAAGAAGGCCUUCGGGUUGUAAAGCCCUUUUGUUGGGAAAGAAAAGCAGCAGGUUAAUACCCCGCUGUUCUGACGGUACCCAAAGAAUAAACACCGGCUAACUUCGU